GCCCCAAACUGGCACCUCCUAAUGAACGUCCCUGGGAGCAACCAGCUGAUGAGGUUCUGCAUACCGGUGGGCGUGCAGAAUGCGGCCCGGACCCCUUCUGUGCUGGUGUUUUCUGGAAGGACACUUCAGUUCAGGGUUUCGCUUGGGUUUGGUUUCUUGGUAACUGUGAGCAUUCACUGCCCCUCGUAACAAUCCCGACCUAGGCAGCCAGGGGCCGGCAUCAUUUCAAAUGCUGGCAGGUCCAUGGGGGUGUGCGGGCAGAGGAGAUGGUCCUCAGCCCAGCUCCAGGCUCACAGACUGUUUUUGUUCCUCUCACUUUUGUUUUACAGCUUUGUUUGGGCCCGAGAAUUUCCACUCCGCAUCUGUUUUCUUAUGAAGCUGGCCUACCCUUUUUUUUUUCUUCAUUUCUGCAUCUUUUAAUUCUUGAGUCAUCAGCCGUACUGACCAGCUUAGCAUAAGAAAUGAAAUUAAUUCUCAUGCUCAGGCUCCAAAUGUAAAUUCAUUUAUUAAUAAUUUAAAUGGAUUUAUUUAUGCAGUUUGAUAUUUUUCAGGUUCAGGGAAGCGAUUCAUUUUCCUCGCGUUGACGAUCAACAGACACCGUCAUUAAGCUCUUUCUUUCCCCAUCCUCCUCUUCCAUCCCAGCCUGCUAAACACAUACAAGAUGGGAGCCCGCUGGUCUUGGCGGGCUCCCAGAGAAGCUUUCCAUCAGCUAAUGUAGCUCUCGGUGUUGGUGGUUGGCAGGGAGCAGAGGCAGCUCGGCCCCGGGGAGCUGCGUGGUCUCCGCACAAAGCUGGAGCUUCCUGAAGCUCAGCUAGUGGCAGCUCACGGAGCGUCCCGUAGGCCAAAAACCCAAAGCACCCAACACGAUCUGUGAACCCCCGUGGCCACAGAAGCUGGGGACCCGAUGGCACCUCCGGCAGCAGCUGAAUUUACUGCUGCGAUGGAAGGUGGCUGACCUCCAAGUGCAUCGACAGAACGUCGUGGCGAGGCCGGGGAAAAUACCACGGUAAAUGUUGACGUGUUAAUGGCAGCCACAACAUCUCGAUCCCAUCCAGAUAGGGAUCAAUGGCAAACCCAGCUCCAUAGGAUGUGGCGGAAUGUUUUAAGCAAGAAUCACGUGUAUUUACUUAGAAUUAGAUGUCC